AUUGAACGCUAGCGGGAUGCCUUACACAUGCAAGUCGAACGGCAGCGCGGACUUCGGUCUGGCGGCGAGUGGCGAACGGGUGAGUAAUGUAUCGGAACGUGCCCAGUAGCGGGGGAUAACUACUCGAAAGAGUAGCUAAUACCGCAUACGCCCUACGGGGGAAAGGGGGGAUCGCAAGACCUCUCACUAUUGGAGCGGCCGAUAUCGGAUUAGCUAGUUGGUGAGGUAAAGGCUCACCAAGGCGACGAUCCGUAGCUGGUUUGAGAGGACGACCAGCCACACUGGGACUGAGACACGGCCCAGACUCCUACGGGAGGCAGCAGUGGGGAAUUUUGGACAAUGGGGGCAACCCUGAUCCAGCCAUUCCGCGUGUGCGAUGAAGGCCUUCGGGUUGUAAAGCACUUUUGGCAGGAAAGAAAUCGCACGGAUUAAUACUCUGUGUGGAUGACGGUACCUGCAGAAUAAGCACCGGCUAACUACGUGCCAGCAGCCGCCGCCG
rnacentral:rRNA from 1 species